rnacentral:rRNA from 1 species
AGUGAACGCUGGCGGUAGGCCUAACACAUGCAAGUCGAACGGCAGCAUGGGAGAGCUUGCUCUCUGGGUGGCGAGUGGCGGACGGGUGAGGAAUACAUCGGAAUCUACCUUUUCGUGGGGGAUAACGUAGGGAAACUUACGCUAAUACCGCAUACGACCUACGGGUGAAAGUGGGGGACCGCAAGGCCUCACGCGAUUAG